GAUUGAUUACGACGAAAAUUCGAGAUAAGACGCACGCAUAUACUGGCAUAUACCCAAUAUACGCGAUACGUCUCGUUAUUUCCGCAAGACAGCAAACGCAACGUUAUUAAGGAUCUGACAGUGGUCUUUUACCGUCUUGUAACCGGCUGUACGUGUAUGUGAGCGUGCGCGAACGUGACAAGGGAAAACGGCAACGGCGUCCAUCAGCGCGUCUCCGAGAGGGAGUACAGAAUGAGUCAGACACAUCAGGAAAAAAGCAUGGACAAGAAAGAAAUCGCUGAGGAAGAGAGAGAAAAGAUGCUGAACGUCGAAAACAGUAAGCAUACCGGCGUCACACCUGUGCCCGAUCUCGAAUCCGAGGAGCAGAAACCGAAGAAGAUACCAAUCGGUGGCAUCAAGAUGCCUGGAUUCUGCCGUACGAAGAGCAAGGAACCGUGCAAGGAUGAUGAGGCUAAACCAGCGAAGUCUACGGAUGCGGAAUCAGCUUCCGUGGUGACAAAGGAAACCGAGCAGAAAGCUUUGUCCGCGGAAAAGCCUAUUAUACCCGUUAAGGAUUCUAAGGAAAAGGAAGGUCGCAGGGGAAUUUUGAAUUCCAUUCGGAUACCUUUGAUGUCGUCCGUUUUCCCCAGGAGAAAAAAAGAAAUCGAUACCGAAUUAGGACAAACCGGUACUGCUGGAUUAGCGAGUGUCGAAACACUCGACGAUGGCGCUUCCGAGAAGAGGCCUAUCGUCGAUGAAGAUGGCAUGGAAACCGUGCGACUUGAUGAAGAAUACGGAACUGACCGCAUUGAGCGACCAAAGCAUCCCUUGGUGGUCUAUUUGUCCACAUUCAGAAGACACGUGGUUAUCCCAGUGACGACUUUGACGAUUCUGCUGAUCAGCACCAUCGUUAUUAUAUGUAUCGCCUGCACCGGACCUAGGAGAACUACUUCUAUCAAAGUUAUGAAAAACGACAAGUACAUCGAAGCAGUGACGUCGUGCGGAUUGGUGCAGGGUAUCUUGGAGGAUAACGCCUACGUAUUCCGUGGUAUUCCAUAUGCAAUGCCACCGGUGGGCAAUCGUCGCUGGCAACCAGCUGAAUCUUUGAGCCGCAUCGAGCAUUGCUGGAACGGCACUUACUUGGCGCACAACUCCUCCAAGAGUUGCUGGCAGCGUGAUAUACAUGGUCACAUCGACGGCGAUGAAGAUUGCCUCUAUCUUGAUGUGUUUACACCAACGGUUGGAUACAAUUUUCCGUUAUCCGUGGUCGUAAUGAUCGGUGCUGAAACCCUGAAUGGCGGUUCGCCCGGAGUGAUGCAACCUUCUGCCAAGCUGGCACACAUUCGCGACGUCGUAUUCGUACGGCCAAACUUCCGAAUGGGAAUUUUCGGAUUUUUGGCAGUCGAGCCUCUCACCAGAGCAACCCACCCUCCAACAUCGGGCAACUAUGGAUUGUCAGACAUCAUAGCAGCUCUUCAGUGGGUACAAUUGAACAUUGAAAAUUUCGGCGGCAAUAAAUCGUCCGUUACUCUGUGGGGACAUCGAGCAGGCGGCACUCUUGCAACGACAUUGAUCGGCUAUCGUCGAGCUAAGAGCCUUUUCUCGCAAGUGUGGAUAUCCAGCGGUAGCGCGAUCUUUCCAGGCAGGGAAUUAAACUUUUCUGAAGACAUAAACCGAUCAUUCCUUGAUUCAAUUCGUUGCAGCGACGCCGCUUGUCUCAGAAGCAAGAGCGCCGAAGAGCUUAUGGAUGUUGUGCCGGCGACGUGGUACGUAGGUACCGUUGGUCUGCCAGAAAUGAAAGAAGACUCAAGCAUCUAUAUGAAAAGGAGACACGAGUGGCUCGUUUUGGACGGAACGAUUGUUCAGGAGCACGUCGGUGAAAUCUUGUCACAGGACAACCUUAUGGUAAAGGUAGUGAUGGGUACCACCGCGCACUCCGGUACCCCGCUGCAAUACCUGUCAUCAAAUGUCACUCUUAAUGCGACACAGGUCGAAAAUCUCGUACGAGAAUCCUUGCUCGGAAUUAGAGGCUAUACAUAUAAAGCUCUGAGGCACUACAAUGCUACGUUGAAGGGAUUGAUCACAAUGAUUUCCGAUAUUCGUGUAGUAUGCCCGCUACUGACGCUCGCCAGGAUGAACACCAACAUACCAUUUUACGUAGUCACUCAACCACGCCGACAGCACUUGGCCGAUCCUGACAGUGACGCCGCGGCCAUUCUAGGAACCUACACUGCUGUUACGCCCGAGGAGAAGAGAUAUUUGUUAGUUAUGCAACAGUUAUUUAACCAGUAUGUGUGGAAUGGCCAAGUCGCGCUGGCUGAUCGGUCGGGCGCGAAGAGAAUCUUGAUUGUUGAUCAAGACGUACAGCUCGCGCAAAGUUAUUCAAAUUGCGAUUUCUGGAUAAACGAAAACAUCGUACCUAAGUGCGGUCGAGUCGAUUAAAAGGCUUUUAUCGCCGUGCAAGUUUAUGUAGCAUCUGGAAAUUUGCACUUGGAGUGGAUUGUCCGUUGAAUUUCUGCGGACACUAAUUUUCACAACACAAAUUUAUAACUUAUUGUUAGACAAAACAAUAUUCUCUUGUUCUCGGCGAGAGAACCGCAGACUGAACAAAUAUUAUACGUGAGUAGUAUUUAUCUAUUCAUUUAAGAGGUACUCACAUGAAGGCUUUUAUAUUAUUUAGACUGAAGCUGCCAAAUUUAAUAUCUUUUAUACCGCGAAAUAUCCACUCGAAUGAAAAAAAUUCUACUAUUGCAUAAUAUUCGAAUUUCGCGCUUGUAAAAGAUAACAAGUAAUGUUUGCAAGUUACAAAAGCUUUUUUUAGCCCGAUUCCUCAUGCUGCAGACAUCGGCACUUUGAUACCGAGCGUGCCCAGAUAACCAAGCAUGAUUUAACAUAUUAGACAAACUAAUGCACUACACGAGUUGUUGUGAAUUUGCAACAAUUUGCUGACAUCGGAAUCUUAUGUGCAAACUGAGUUAGCAACGUGUUAGCAAAUAGACAUCACCAAUUUAUAAAAUUUCAAGAGCAAACGUUGAGAAUUAAUAAUGCGUCAUGAUGAUGGCAAAAUGACGGCACGCGCUGAGCUCGCAUUUCAUAUAUAGUAUCGUGCCGCCAACAUAAUAGCAAAUUAAUGGCAUAUUUUACAUGCCAUCAAGAUGCUAUCAAUUGCUAUCAUCAAAUUUAGAAUUCACGUGAGGGCAACAUUUCACGCAUAAUGAAGAAGCACCUAGUUUAUCGACAUCUACUACAACGGCUGACAGUAAUAUGACGGCAUCUUGGACUCAUUUGGUUUAUAUGGAUAAUUGGUAAAAAAUGAGUAAUGGGGGUAAAUUUUAUCUGUACAUGUAGUCAUUUAAAUCCCUUUUUCCUCAAUUGGCGCUCAGUGUCAAAGCGCAGAUAUCAUCUAUAUGAGGAUUCGAACUUAUAUGCUUUUCCGUAAACGCGGCUCGUAUAAAAAAAAUGAUAAUGAUCUUAAUAUUCUUGUAUUGAUCGUUUUUACUUAUAAUUAUUACUCAAUGUAUUAUUAAGUGUAAUUUAUUUUCAUUAAUACGUGAUAAAGUAGCACUUAUAUUCAAGAAACCUGUACAUGCUGUUUCAUUUUAUAGAUAGAUUAUUUGCAUAAUUAACUAAUUUCCAUUACCUUAACAUUAUCUAUGCGAAUAGAACAAUGACUAGAGCGCGGAAGUUCGAGCAUGGGGCGCACUCGAAGAACCGUUGUGCGUUUUGUUUAUAUUGAGUAGUUUGUGCGCCUGGACGAAAUGUUGCGAUCUCACCUAAGCAAGCACCCAACUCACGCGCGCAGCGGUCCACUGCGCGUGCUCCGUGAUCAUGCCCGAACUUCUGCGUCCUAACAAUGACAUUCGUAAUAAGCAUCCGUUCUGACUGAUCGUAAGUGAUUAAGCAGGCCUGAUUACACCAACGUUACUUUGGCCCGUAUUCAGAACGCGCUUUUGUCGAUAAAAGCGCGCUUUUAUCUCU